GCAGGUCAGGGCCGGGGAAUCGCCGGUCUUGAAAACCGGUAUGGGGAAACUCAUCGUGGGUUCGAAUCCCACGCCCUCCG
rnacentral:tRNA from 1 species